UGCCAGCAGCCGCGGUAAUACGAAGGGAACAAGUGUUACUCGGAAUAACUGGGCGUAAAGGGUUCGUAGGCGGACUAUUAAGUUUUAAGUGAAAUCCCAGAGCUUAACUUUGGAAAUACUUAGAAUACUGAUAGUCUUGAGUUUUGUAGGGGAUAGUGGAAUUUUUAGUGUAGAGAUAGAAUUCGAACAUAUUAAAAAGAACACCGAAAGCGAAGGCGACUAUCUGGACAAAAACUGACGCUGAGGAACGAAAGCAUAGGGAGCAAACAGGAUUAGAUA
rnacentral:rRNA from 1 species